GACGAACCGUGCGAACGUUAUUCGGAAUCACUGGGCUUAAAGCGCGUGUAGGCGGCCCGGCGCGUCUUUCGCUGAAAUCCCCGGCUCAACCGGGGAAGGGCGGGAUACGGCCGGGCUGGAGGGGGGUAGGGGGGGAUCGGGAACUUCCGGUGGAGCGGUGAAAGUGCGUUGAGAUCGGAAGGAACGCCCGCGGCGAAAGCGCGGUCCUGGACCCCACCUGACGC
rnacentral:rRNA from 1 species